rnacentral:pre_miRNA from 1 species
GCUGCGUCUGACCCUGAAAUCCCCACUGUUGUAGGAAUGGGGGAAGGACGCAGGAA